GGGCCCGCACAAGCGGUGGAGCAUGUGGUUUAAUUCGAUGAUACGCGAGGAACCUUACCAGGGCUUAAAUGCAGAACGACCGGGAUGGAAACAUCCCUUUCUUCGGACGGUCUGCAAGGUGCUGCAUGGUUGUCGUCAGCUCGUGCUGUGAAGUGUCGGGUUAAGUCCCAUAACGAGCGCAACCCCUAUUUCUAGUUGCCAGCGGUUCGGCCGGGGACUCUAGAGAAACUGCCAGCGUAAGCUGUGAGGAAGGUGGGGAUGACGUCAAAUCAUCACGGCCCUUACGUCCUGGGCCACACACGUGCUACAAUGGUGGGGACAACGAGUCGCAAUACCGCGAGGUGGAGCAAAUCUCUUAAAGCUUGUCUCAGUUCGGAUAGGAGUCUGCAACUCGACUCCUUGAAGUUGGAGUC
rnacentral:rRNA from 1 species